GCCUGGCGCGCAGAGUGCACCUUCCUGAGCUCGAGCGGUCCAGCGCCAAGUUCGGGGUUUGGGGUUGGAGCGGCUGGUCACGUGGCUGGCCCGCGGCGGUGCGCGGGGCGUUGGGUCAGCGGGUCUGGGACUGGUGGCACCGGCGGCGGCGUAGGACGGAGGCGUCGCUAGGUCUUGUUCUCUUGGCCAGGCUGGAGUGCUGUGGGAAAAUCUGGGCUCACUGCAGCCUCAACCUCCGGGACUCAAGUGAUCAUCCUGCCUCAGCCACCCAGAGUAGCUGAGAAUACAGGCGUGCGCCACCAGGCUCGGCAGCUUCGAACCAGUGCAAU
rnacentral:lncRNA from 10 species